rnacentral:lncRNA from 1 species
GAAACUUCCUCUUCAAUUUGGAAACCUAAUAAAUUCUCUCAAUUAAUUAGUUGAAAUCAUUCUCCAAUUUGCCAAAUUGAUUUCUCUUCACAUUCACACGGCUUCUCAAAACAUCACACAUUCAAUUUUACAAACCCUAAAUCUCAUCUACGGCUUCAUCUCUAGCAGCGAUUGUUCCUGGCCCUAGAAAUCCCUAAAUCUCAAGCAUUCAAACUCUCAUCUAGAUAUAGAGUUGUCGAAUCGGUUUUGAUUUUGUCGCUCAAUCGAACAAGGUUCAAUCAAAUAUUAUGAUUAUGAAGACGAAAACAAAGAAGAUUAUGAAGUGGAAGGAGUCAACAAGUUGAUUUCGUCAGAGAAAAUGUAACAAGGUGUUUAUUGAUGUUUAUUCUAGACUUCAUUUUGAAGAUCUGACGAAGAGCAUUGGAAACUGAAUGCCAACAAUUUGAAGUUUACUCCAUGUUCAGUAUUCACUUUUUAUACUUUUUAAUCAUAUGAACAAUUUGAAGAUCUUGACUGGUGGUGUUCUAAAAGAAGACGAACUAGGGUUCUGCCAUUUCGGUACUGGUAGGAACAAAUCCGAAUUCAUACAAAUCGGGGACUAACUGGCAGUAGAAAAGGUUCUUGCUGGAGCCUUAAGGCGAGAUAUGGCUUUGAAAGGUUCUUACAAGUGUAUGUUCUUGGGUCAAUCCGACCAAAAUUUGCUAAACUCAAUUGGGACAUACACUUUGGUGGUAAGUAUACUGUGAGGAUUUUAGUGAUCACAGUGGAUGCGGAUGCCCUUGCUUAAAUCUUUAAUUCUUGAUAACUGUGAGACGAUGAGGCCGACAUGCUUAAGCACUAUUUAGCCAACAAAGCUUCUCAUGUUCUUCAUCAAAAGGUAAAAAGCAAUGGGAAUUGAAUUCAACCUUCUCAUCGAUUAAGGUGCUAGGGAUUUGAUUUCAUGUUUUUAGGGCUUCAUCGAAGUAUAUUCAAGAGAUGUUAAGAGGAAGUAUAUGAACUUCAAGAAGUUUGAUAUUGUUGAGGACUAUUCAAUUUAGUGCUAUAUAAAAUCAAAAUCAUUAUGGUGACAGGCAAGUAGGGAUAAGCUUGGUAUUGACCGGUACCGGUACCAAAUAUUCCGGUACCGAAAAUCUCCAAAAGUGGGUACCGGUACUGAAUAUACCCAAUACGGUUCAAUACCGGUAUUUGAGAGAAAAAACGGUACCGAAAAUGUCAAAAGUCGGUACUAAAUUGGUACCGAAAAUGUACUCGGUUUGGUAAAUUCGGUACCGAUAUCGGGUACCAUUUGCCCAUCCCUACGUUCAAGUGUAUUUUCAACUUUAUUUAUUUUAUUUGUUUAUUUUAUGAAAUUUUCAAUUUCCAAUGAUUCUUUUUUUAACAAUUUGCAGCCACCAAUAAAUGGGCUAAAAAGUUUAUGAAGAAUGGAGGAUUCCUGAGAGGAAUUUGCCUGAUAUGAUAUAUGUUAGGGUUUAAGAAGGGAGAAAGGAUCUUUUAAGAGUUGUGAUAAUAGGAGUAGAAGUGACUCCACAUCACGAUGGUUUUUUUUUCUUUGAUAUAUGUAUGUCUUCACAUAUCUCUUCUUUUUUCAGUUUUCAUCAAGUGGUUUAAUAUUAUUAAUAGGGUUGAUAAACUUUAAAACCACUGUAUACUUUCAUAUCUUUGUGGUAAAAAGUCUCUUUAUCCAAUUUUAGUAUACUAAAAGUUGU